UCUGGAACGUCUCUGAAUUCUAGUAUUCCAGAAUCUGAGUUUGUAGCAAGUAUAGCCCAUCAGUGCUCUGAGAAGCAAGUAAGCAUCCCUAAGAAGUGACUGUCAUAAUUUAGGGCAAUGGAAGCUAAGAAGACCAUUAAUUUAGAACAGGGUAGAGAAGAGAAGAGUGUGCCUCCAGGGUUUGGGAAGAAAAUGAUUGUACUUCAUUCAGGAAGAACCAGACACCUCAAGGAGAUGUUUUCCAUAAACCUUAACAUAAAGCCUACUUCCAGUCCCAUCAUGCCCCAGGGACAGUUGAAAGAAAAGAAGCAGCUUUCCCCCCAAUGGACAAGAAUGAUGAAAUCACCAAAACAGGAAGUACUCAUCUGUAUGAGACCCCAAAAGAAUACUGAGAAGUUCAAUUGUCUGAAUCACAAUGGAUCACCAUAAGCAAGGAAUGGCCAAUUUUUAAUUAAAGGAAAUGCUUCUGAACAGGAUAAGAUUUUCAAACAUGAUGACAGUCUUCUUCUACACGAGGUGACAAAUUCCAGGGAUAAGACUCUGGGAGAUGCAAAGGAGAGGCUUCUGUCUUAGGUUAAGGUUAGCUAACUUCCCCCAAAAUAAGGUCCAUCAUUUAGUUGAAGAGAGUGAAGAACAAUUCAGCUAGGUCAGUGACAAUAUUAUAGAAAAUAUAGAUAACCACCACUGAGUAAAGAGAAAAUCCAGUGAAUUAUAAAAUGAAAAAUCAUCCAUAUAAAAUCCAUUCCUACCAGAAAUGCUAUAUUUUAGAAGACCUCAGCAGAUAAGCAACCAUUCAAGUUCAUUCAGGUAUCUACUAUGCAGUGACCAAAUUGUUUUCUAGUAGUACAGGGUAGCAACAGCAGACCCCAAUGAAAAGCCAGGUCAGUAAUUAAGUGUUUUGCAUAAUCUAGUCCAAAUAUCAAUCAAUCUAUCCAAAUGGCCCACUCCAGAAAAGCAGCAAACCCAGAUGGGAACCUGAGAUCCUCAUUUGACACCAGCACCAUAUUCCACAAUAAACUUCAUCAGUACUAUUCCA
rnacentral:lncRNA from 1 species